AUCCGAGGUUGGUUGAAUCUGU
rnacentral:miRNA from 1 species